UCUUUUUCGGUUGAGUCUAAUUCAUCUCUUUUCUUUUACCGACUGACUGUAAAGUGAAGGAUUGAAUGAAUAAGUCGUGUUUACAGGAGAAUGAAGAGAGAGUUUAGGAGAAGAUCAAGAUCAAGAAGGA